UUGCCUGAACUGGUAGAGUUUCUGAGUGGGAUCACUGGCUCUCACCAAGUCCCCAUUUGGGAUGCCCCGCCGGGUGUAGAGCAACUGCCCAUCAUCAAAAUCUGAGUCUGGGUCAUGGUAACAGAGAUCUGCCAGGGUCAGUAGGCGCUGGCCAUUCCUCACGACAUGAAAGACCUUAUCUACCACACGCACUGGUUUCUCAUCAUUCCUUAACUCUACAGAAAUGGCAACUUUGAUUUCUAUAGAUAAAUGUUCUGUGUCAAGAUGCCUGACCACUCCUUCCUGGCCUGGUCCUGCAGUGGAGGCCACAAGGAGGAAUUCAUCACACUGAGUCUCGGAGUCAUCAUGGACAUACAUCAGCCGCUCACCCUCUAAGUCUUGAUCAGUGAACUCAGUGAUACUGUCAUGACUUCCCAGAGGAUCUGAGAAGUUAACCAGUUUCAGCUUUCCAUGUUGAGGACUCCUGGUGAUUUUAUAUUGGAAGCUGUAAUCCUCGAAAUGUACUAUGGUACCGGACCCGACCCCGAUCGAUGGAACGCUGAGAAAAGGUACUAACUUGUUUCCAUUCACCACUUGAUCCCUGCCGCUGAAUCUGGCCAAAUUGGGGUGGAUGAGUGAUAGCAUAGCGGGUCUCCAUCUCGUGGGGUUCACCAUUAACCUCCACCGACAAGUCACUCUGUGUAAUCAGAACCGCGCCACCCUGCUGGACGACUGCACCGGUUCUAAUGACCACUUCAAAGUCCCAAGGAACAGCCAUGACCCGUAACACUACCGUAUUGCUAACCAGCUCUCCAUCGCUUGCUCGCAGAAGGAUCCGGGAGUUCCGAUGACCUCUGUGCACAUAGAAAAUGUUGCCAUCUCUUAAAUCCCCAUGCGUAAAACUAUUGAUGGCUUUCCCAGGAUGAUUGGUGUUUUCUAAAAACCCAGCAUCUAAAUUGAAGUUGCCAAGAACAGAGAAACUAAGACUCAAAGGAUCUGUGUCAGGGUCUGACACAUGUAUGAUAUUCGGAGUCAGUCGUUUCUUAGAAUUCUCAAACAGGAGAAGCAUGUUUCCUUCAGGGAGCUUCAGGUAUGGGGGAUCAUUCACUGGAAGGACAGUAAUGUUAAACACAUAUGGCACAUGUCCUUGCAGACGUAAUGCCAUUUCCUUCUUGCUGUUGGAAGAGACUGAAAAUGUGAAAAAAUCCCUAGGUUCUUCUGAACCAUCAUGGACAUACCAAACUUUUCCUUGCCCCAAAUCUAACAUAGUAAAAGCCUUCUCCAUUCCCAGCGCAGGGGAAACAUCGAUUUGAAGGAACCCAUGCAGGGGCAUUUCCUCUAUUUUAAAUAGUAUUUGAGAAUGAUGGAUACCCAAAUCUUCGGAUGCCACAUCCACUUUCAUAUGCCUUUGUUCCAGAAAGGCUCGCCCACCUUCUUGGACCUCCAAGUUAUUCAGACUCAAGAAAUAGCUACUCGCAUGGUGAAUAAAAGGCUUGCCUGCCUCAGGGACUACAGUGGAAAGGGGAACUUCUGAUGGAUGCAGUUCACCUCCCUGGCACUAAAUCAAUUCCAGGAUCAGCUGGUGGCUAGAAAUUUCCAUUGCCUCAGGGAACAAACAAGGAAGCAGGUUCCGGUGUGACAGCCUACAACCAGUUAUGUCCUCACACAUCUCCAAACUGACCUCAACUUUUAUGGCUCCUAGUGAAGCACCUCAAAAUAACAGUAAGAAGCAAAUCGAAGCACAAGAAAAACUGGGUCCUAGAAAAAGAAAGGUGAUCUCCACCUGCAGCAAAGGAAAAGGUGUGAUUUCAGUAUUACAUGGGUAGGGCAAGCCAAGGUGAACAGAAAUCAGAGCAACGUCCUGGUUUUAUGUGCUCAUGUAAAAAGGUGAAAUGAUUGAAUGGAAGCCAAGUUUGGCAAUAAGUUACCUAUGGUCAAUCAUUGUCCAGAAACAGAUGAUCCUCCUUCUGACCUAUCUUCAGAAGAGUAAUAGCAGCCCAAAGCUACGUCACAAUGCCUAUGCCAUUCGCCUGGUUCAUCUCAUCACAUAGACCCUUUCCCAUCUCACAGCACAAUGAAAAGGAUGAAUGCAGUAUGAGGUAUCUUGAGAGGGACGAUCCCUCAAGUUUCUUCAUUGAAUUUUUUGGAGGCUCUAUCAGAGGAAUGAAUCGAGGCCCAGGAGUCGUGUGCAGAUUCGCACCUUCUGAUUUGGGGCGCACGCAUGCUCCUAGACAGGAAAAGCCUCCUCAUACCAGAAUGAGGUUUCUGGUAACAUGGACUUGAGCAGGAUCCGGCAACAACAGGGUUUGAUCAAUAAGAGCCAAGGGCCUUCUAGAUCGACUUCCCUGCCGGGCAUACUCUGACACCAGCUGGGUUCAGCUGGACUCAAUUCUGGCACUAGCUACAUGAGAUUCCACAGGUUAAAGGCUCAGUCACACAAGACUGCCAUCCACUAAAGAUGCCAAUCACAGGUCCAGAUUGCUACGUGACCUUCUGACUGACUGGUUAUAAAUCAGAGACUCCCAUAACCCCCUACUCGGGAUCAAUUAAUUUGCUAGAGUGGCUCACAGGACUCAGGAAAUGGGUUUACUCACUAAAUUCUGGUUUAUUAUGUUGGGAAGCAAGAAUCCCUGCUCCCUCAAAGGCCCUUCUAACUGGACUAAGAAUCAAAUUGACAUGAGACAGAUUAACAGGAGAGAUUCAAAGUAAUAGGCUUACAUAUGGGGAGUCCACAUAGAGAUGGAAAUUCCAAAGACCGGCAAAAUGAAGUGUAUGUCAUUCUGAACUAAGGAGAAAGGGUUAGGGGGUCUGGGAUUUCGGAGGAAAGGAAUGCAUUUCAUGAUUCCUGAUAAGAAAAGCAGAUAUUUGGUAAUUACAUGUUUGCCCUACUGUACAGAUGGGUGACUCAGAUAAAAUUUACCUCUGUUUGUAACUCUUAGUCUGGGGGAAAAAAAAAAAGCCCAAUUUAGGUUCUUCUAUGCGGUUAAGGGAGAAGCAGAAGUAUCUCUUGAACCUGCAGGAUCUCGAAUGCCUUCAGCUCAAAAUAAUCUACACAUCAAAAUGGCACAUGAGGUGGAGGGUGGGUUGGGGAGGGUUGGGGAGGAGGGCCUAUCCUGAACCUGUUCAAUUACAAAAGAUGUUAAAGGAUAUGAAGGAACUGUUUUAAUUAGUGCACAUGAAAGAGGACUCCAACUACCUCCAUUUUGACCUCAAACUUUCUAAUUGAUUUGAGUCUCCUUCCAAAGACCCUGUGGGCAAAGUAUUCCCUGAUGGCAACUGACACUACCCCCUCAAACAGUGAGGACUGCCCUGAGCCAGCAAGACUCCUUAUGAUGGACUCCAAGACAAUGAUUAACCAGACUUUUACUGCCCACCUGUGCAAACCCACCUGAUCUUUGUCCCACAUUUUUCCUUAAAUACACUGGAAAGUAUUUUCAGCCCUUGGAGAUUGUCUUUGGAACACUAAUCCACUGUCUUCUCGGAAUUGGCCUCACUGAAAUAAAUUCCUUUCUGCUUUCACCACCACUCAUUUCUCUGCCUUCAGAUUUUGUCAGUGGUGAGUGGCUGAACCUGGUCUUUCUGGGACCCCUGGGGCCACGGACUCUUGUACUCCGGUACCCCAGCUACACAGAGAGAACUUGGAAGAAUCAACUUGUAGGAAUCAACUUGAACUUGCAACUUGUUAUAGAAAUGAAGAUGCAGGUGAAGAGAUAUAUAAGGCAAGGUCACAAAGGAGUUUCUGUCCUGGUGGAGUUUGGGGCCCUGCCCAGUGGCACAUGGAAACGUUCCAGUUCACCAACCUGGAAACUCUCCAAACCCUUCCUUUUGGUUUUCGGUGGAGGCUUCAUUACAUAAGCAUGAUUGCUGAAAUCAUUGGCCAUUAGUGAUUGAACUCAAUUUCUGGCCUCCCCUCCCCUCCUUGGAGGUCUGGGGCUGAGAUUGAAAGGUCCUACCAUCUAAUCACAUGAUCAGUUCCCCUGGCAACCAGCCACUAGCUUUAGGGUUAUCUGGGGCUUUCCAAAAGUCACCUCAUUAACAUAACAAAAGGGAUACAUUUUAUAAUUCUCAUCACCUAGUAACUUUCAAGGCUUUUAGGACAAGUAAAAAAUUAAGACAAUAUAUUUAUUUCUUACUAUAAAUCACAAAUCACAACAUGUUACUAAUUUCUAGCAUUAUCCCACUGCCCAUAGCAGUUCUGAUUUUUUUGAGGUUGAAGAACCCUGGACCCGGUGGGUGGGAAUUCUAGCUCUGAUUCUAGCAGGGUGACAAUCACAAACCUUAUUAACAAUUUCAGUGUCCUCCCCUAUAAAAUGGAAGGAUUGGAUUAAAUGUAAA